rnacentral:miRNA from 1 species
AAAGGCCUUCCCUUUAGAGUGU